rnacentral:rRNA from 1 species
CCUACGGGUGGCUGCAGUGAGGAAUAUUGGUCAAUGGCCGGAAGGCUGAACCAGCCAUGCCGCGUGAAGGUCAGUGCCCUAUGGGCGUUAAACUUCUUUUGUGCGGGAGCAAUAAUGGUCACGUGUGGCCAGACGAGAGUACCGUACGAAUAAUCAUCGGCUAACUCCGUGCCAGCAGCCGCGGUAAUACGGGGGAUGCAAGCGUUAUCCGGAUUUAUUGGGUUUAAAGGGUGCGUAGGCUGGGCGGUAAGUCAGCGGUGAAAUGCCCCCGCUCAACGGGGUGAAGUGCCAUUGAUACUGCCUGGCUGGAAUGCGGAUGCCGUGGGAGGAAUGUGUGGUGUAGCGGUGAAAUGCAUAGAUAUCACACAGAACACCGAUUGCGAAGGCAUCUCACGAAUCCGCGAUUGACGCUGAUGCACGAAAGCGUGGGUAUCAAACAGGAUUAGAUACCCCAGUAGUC